rnacentral:rRNA from 1 species
GUCUAUGGCCAUACCACCCUGAAUGCACCUGAUCUUGGAAGCUAAGCAGGAUCAGGUCUGGUUAGUACUUGGAUGGGAGACAUUGAUAGGUUUCUUAGCAUUAUCUUUUCCUUUUUAAAAUUACACAAGCCAUACAUU